GGUGAACGCUGGCGGCGUGCCUAAUACAUGCAAGUCGAGCGAACAGACGAGGAGCUUGCUCCUCUGUCGUUAGCCGCGGACGGGUGAGACACACGUGUAUAACCUACUUAUCAUACUGGUAUAACUUCGGGACUCCGGCGCUUAUCCCGGAUAAUAUAUUGAUCCGCAUGGUUCAAUAGUGAAAUUCGGUUUUGCUGUCACUUAUAGAUGGAUCCGCGCCGCAUUAGCUAGUUGGUAAGGUAACGGCUUACCAAGGCAACGAGGCGUAGCCGACCUGAGAGGGUGAUCGGCCACACGGGAGCGGAGACACGGUCAAGACUCCUACGAGAGGCAGCAGUAGGGAAUGGGCCGCAAUGGGCGAAAGCUUGACGGAGCAAGGCCGCGUGAGGGAUGAAGGUCUUGGGAUCGUAAAACUCUGUUAUGAGGGAAGAACAAAUGUGUAAGUAACUAUGCACGUCUUGACGGUACCUGGUCAGAAAGCCACGGCUAACUACGUG
rnacentral:rRNA from 1 species